UACGUAGGGGGCUAGCGUUGUCCGGAUUUAUUGGGCGUAAAGAGCGUGUAGGCGGCCAGGUAGGUCUGGUGUGAAAACUCGAGGCUUAACCUCGAGAUGUCAUCGGAAACCAUCUGGCUAGAGUCCGGAAGAGGAGAGUGGAAUUCCCGGUGUAGUGGUGAAAUGCGUAGAUAUCGGGAGGAACACCAGUGGCGAAGGCGACUACCUGGCCUGUUUCUUGACGCUGAGGCGCGAAAGCUAGGGGAGCAAACGGG
rnacentral:rRNA from 1 species